rnacentral:rRNA from 1 species
CAAAUGAAUUGACGGGACCGCACAAGCGGUGGAUGAUGUGGUUUAAUUCGAUGCAACGCGAAAACCUUACCCACCUUUGACAUGUACGGAAUCCUUUAGAGAUAGAGGAGUGCUCGAAAGAGAACCGUAACACAGGUGCUGCAUGGCUGUCGUCAGCUCGUGUCGUGAGAUGUUGGGUUAAGUCCCGCAACGAGCGCAACCCUUGUCAUUAGUUGCUACAUUCAGUUGGGCACUCUAAUGAGACUGCCGGUGACAAGCCGGAGGAAGGUGGGGAUGACGUCAAGUCCUCAUGGCCCUUAUAGGUGGGGCUACACACGUCAUACAAUGGCUGGUACAAAGGGUUGCCAACCCGCGAGGGGGAGCCAAUCCCAUAAAGCCAGUCGUAGUCCGGAUCGUAGUCUGCAACUCGACUACGUGAAGUCGGAAUCGCUAGUAAUCGUGGAUCAGAAUGUCACGGUGAAUACGUUCCCGGGUCUU